AUGGCAGCUUUUAGCCAAUUCUACAACUUAGUUGGUACAAAUUUUGCAUCUAUCAACACGGCCCUGGUGGCCCUGAUCCCAAAGAAGGAUGGAGCCUCCUAAAUUGCAGAUUUUCGACCCAUCAGCUUAAUCCACUCCAUCGCCAAGCUUAUUGCAAAGGUGCUCUCAAUGCGGCUGGCCACGGUGAUCCAUACGCUAGUCUCCCCAGCGCAAUCGGCCUUUCUC
rnacentral:rRNA from 1 species